AUUGAACGCUGGCGGCAGGCCUAACACAUGCAAGUCGAACGAGUGGCGGACGGGUGAGUAAUGUCUGGGAAACUGCCCGAUGGAGGGGGAUAACUACUGGAAACGGUAGCUAAUACCGCAUACCAUCGGAUGUGCCCAGAUGGGAUUAGCUUGUAGGUGAGGUAACGGCUCACCUAGGCGACGAUCCCUAGCUGGUCUGAGAGGAUGACCAGCCAUACUGGAACUGAGACACGGGCCAGACUACUACGGGAGGCAGCAGUGGUGAAUAUUGUACAUUGGGGGAAAGCCUGAUGCAUCCAUGCCGAGUGUAUGAAGAAGGCCUGCGGGUUGUAAAGUACUUUCAGCGGGGAGGCGUUACCCGCAGAAGAAGCACCGUCUAACUCCGUGCCAGCAGCCGCGGUAAUAC
rnacentral:rRNA from 1 species